rnacentral:misc_RNA from 1 species
UUAAGUUCAGCGGGUAUCCCCACCUGAUCCGAGGCCAUACGUCAGGAUAUCAAGACCCAAAGGCUGGUCACUAAUACUUUUGCGUACUGCUUCCAUCUUAGGAGUCUUUAUACAUUUCGACCGGUCCCAUGCGGGAAGGGUCAACACAAGGCAGAGCCUUAGAUUUAAACGGCGCUCGAACAGGUGUGCCCCCUGGAAUA